rnacentral:rRNA from 1 species
GACGAACGCUGGCGGUGUGCUUCACACAUGCAAGUCGAACGAGGUAGCAAUACCUAGUGGCGGACGGGUGAGUAAACGCGUGGGAAUCUGCCUUUAGAUGGGGGAUAACGGGUCGAAAGACUCGCUAAUACCGCAUAUGACGAAAGUUGAAAGGAGUAAUCCGUCUAAAGAUGAGCCCGCGUCCGAUUAGCUAGUUGGUAGAGUAAAAGCCUACCAAGGCGACGAUCGGUAGCUGGUCUGAGAGGAUGAUCAGCCACAAUGGGAACUAGAGACACGGCCCAUACUCCUAC